rnacentral:rRNA from 1 species
AUUGAACGCUGGCGGCAGGCUUAACACAUGCAAGUCGAACGAGUGGCGGACGGGUGAGUAAUGCUUGGGAAUCUAGCUGAUGGAGGGGGAUAACUACGGGAAACGGUAGCUAAUACCGCAUACCAUAGGAUGAGCCCAGGUGGGAUUAGGUAGUUGGUGAGGUAAAGGCUCACCAAGCCGACGAUCUCUAGCUGGUCUGAGGGGAUGACCAUCCACACUGGGACUGAGACACGGCCCAGACUCCUACGGGAGGCAGCAGUGGGGAAUAGUGCGCAAUGGGGGCAACCCUGAUACAGCCAUGCCGCGUGAAUGAAGAAGGCCUUCGGGUUGUAAAGUUCUUUCGGUAGCGAGGCGUUACCCGCAGAAGAAGCACCGGCUAACUCCGUGCCAGCAGCCGCGGUAAUUC